AUAAAGCUGUCACUUGUCCUUCCUGUAAGAAAACUCAAAUUGUUUACAACAUAUCCAUUGAGGUUAAGCCUUCACUUUCAUGGCUCAUCUGCAGUCUUGAAAUAAAAAAAUCUUCUUUGAUCAAGUUACCCAUAAAGAGAUUGGCCCAGAUGAUAGCAAAGGCUCCGUGAGUUCUACAAGUUGAUGUUAGAAGAUAUGGCACAGUACUGUGGAAAGAGGAUCUGGAUCUAAAACCUGGUUUUGCUACACUUCAGCCUUGGAUGUGACCCUGGUUAUUUUGGGAAAAGAUGGAUGAGAAAGGAUCCUCCUCUACCUCCAUGUUGAAACCUUGUACCAGAAAAACAACAAAGCAAAAAGAACUGAUACAAUGACCACAUUUGGUAAUGUAUACAACAAUCUGCCCUUAUAGUCCCUAGCCUCUGCCAUAACGAGGUAAGUAUGUUUUAUUAUCUGUUUUCAGGGGCCAGAUUUGGUUUCUCAGUUACUCAGUCUGGAUCUCUUUAAGUGAUCAUUUCAUUUACACUGGUGUAGCCAUGAUAUACACUACUCUUUCAGUUUUGCUCCUUUCACUCUUCAUCAGUUCAUUCAAAUCUUCCCAUGUAUCUCUAGUAAUGGAUAGAAAUGACCAGUAAGAUUCCAGACCUUAGAUCAUGUGAAACACCAGCCUGCAACAAUACAAGUGGAUUCUUAGUGAGCCUGCUUCCAGAAAUAUGGAAGCCUCUCCAUGGAGGAGAGGCUUUUUCCCACCUCUAUUCAGAGUACUACAGGUAUAAAGUGUUUAUUGUGUCCUACUACAUCAUGAUGAAAAGCUUCUUAACAGUCAGCUAAGUUAGAACUGAGUAUGCACACAAAAGGUUAAAACAAAUGAAAUCUCUUUUCACUUACCUAGGCAGGUGGGCAAGGGGGUCCCCAACCUAGCAGCUCACAGCACUCCUUACCCACAGCAAUCAAAAUGGAUUUCUGGUGAGACUUCUUCCAGAAUGUAUCAUGGAAGAGUGCUGUGAGCUGCUAGGUUGGGGACACCCUUGCCUACCUAGUCAUUAUGUGGCUGUAUGUGAAUUCUUUUGUAUCUUUGUAUCUAUUCUCUCUUGAGAAUAGGUGAAUGAAUAUUGGAGACAGACUGGAUCAAAUUGUGACCUUGUGAUCUUUGAAAGGCUGAGAAAGCCACCAGAGGUCCAGCAAUAGGAAUCUAGAGCAAAGUCUACAAGUAGCUACUGAAGCCAAAUCUAUGGAGAAGCCAGCCUGAAGAAGAAACCAGCUUGACCCAUCCCAGUUCCUUGACCCAACUCAGUUCCUAAGACAUCAAUCCCCAGAUGAAAAGACUGGUCCAUCAGCUAUGCUAGACUCAAAAGUGAACAUGAUGGAAGGAAUGUUUGUAGAAAACACUUAAGUUUGAACUUACUUUCCUCAGGGACCAAGAUGGUAGAGUAGAAUGUGUUCUCUACAUAGGAGUUUUUUGUACUUCAGUUCUUACUGUAUAUUCUCAGUAAAUAUCCCUUUGCAAAAGCUAAUUGAUGUUCAUUGGUUAACUGAUAUUAAAGACAGAACAGCUAGUCUGUUGAGACUGGUGAGAUGUUACCUGGCAUUUGAUAUUGGGGAAGAGGAACAACACACUGGAUGAGGGCUUAAUUGCAGUUGUACUUAGAAAAUGUCCCCAAUCCAUCAGGGUUAACCCUAGAACCAUGAGGGGAGAUAUAGUAACUAAGAUUUACGGACCUAACAUGGCAGUUCAAGUAGGGAUUGAGACAGUGAGUUUAAUGCCUAUGUACUACAUUCUGAAUUCCUCAUAAUCAUCAUAUCUUUCUGCACAAUUACAUUUCAUUGCAUUUAUAACCAUUGUUGUUUAAGCUAGUCCCCAAUUAAUGGGAACCCACUCUGUUUCCAGUUCUUUGCUAUCACAAAAAAAGUGUUGCAAAUAAUAUUUUCCUAUAUAUUGGACCUUUGUUUCUAUCUUUAACUUCUUGGGCAAUCACUUUGCUGUUGUCCACUUGUGUCUGACUCUUCAUGGGG